rnacentral:rRNA from 1 species
GGCGCACGGGUGAGUAACGCGUGGAUAAUCUGCCUUCAAGUCGGGAAUAACAUUGCGAAAGCGAUGCUAAUACCGGAUAAGCUCACGAUUUGAUUAGUUGUGGGAAAAGAUGGCCUAGUCUAUGCUAUCGCUUGAAGAUGAGUCCGCGUACCAUUAGCUUGUUGGUAGGGUAAUGGCCAACCAAGGCUUCGAUGGUUAGCUGGCCUGAGAGGGCGGCCAGCCACACUGGAACUGAGACACGGUCCAGACUCCUACGGGAGGC